rnacentral:rRNA from 1 species
UACGGGGGGGGCGAAGCGUUGUUCGGAAUUACUGGGCGUAAAGGGCUCGUAGGCGGCCAACUAAGUCGGAUGUGAAAUCCCCAGGCUCAACUUGGGAACUGCAUCCGAUACUGGAUGGCUUGAAUUCGGGAGGGGAGUGGUGGAAUUCCCAGUGUAGCGGUGAAAUGCGUAGAUAUUGGGAAGAACACCGGUGGCGAAGGCGGCCAUCUGGACCGGUACUGACGCUGAGGCGCGAAAGCUAGGGGAGCGAAUGGG